AACUCUGAGUCAUCACUCAUGUGUGUGUGACUGUGUGUGCAUCUUAUCUUACAUCUGUUCUUUUUUUUUUUUUUUUUUUUUGGGUCAAAAUCUUAGAUCUGUUCAAAUCUAUAAAUAAAUGAGUAGUAGUUAUCUCGACUUUAUACAAUAAAGACACUAUUAUUACCUCUUCGUACGUCUAUAAUUACACUGUUUUCCAUGUUUCUUGAUUACUCUAAUCAAUAUUUAUAUAAC
rnacentral:lncRNA from 1 species